rnacentral:rRNA from 1 species
GGGCUGUCUCGGAUAGCCAUGCCAAGUGUAGUAUGAGUGAGUUAUACAACGAAACUGCGAAUGGCUCGGUAAAACAGCUAUAGUUUCUUCGGUGGUAAAUACUACUUGGAUACCCGUAGUAAUUCUAGAGCUAAUACAUGCCAUAAAAGCGGCGCUUGCGCCGUGGUAUAAAUUGGAGAUACAAGCCAAUGUUUGGUGAUUCACAAUUUCUUUCUGAUUGCACAUAAGUGCGACGCACCGUUCAAAUUUCUGACCUAUCAACUUUGGAUGGUAAGGUAUUGUCUUACCAUGGUUGUGACGGGUAACGGACCGUGGGUGCGGGACUCCGGAGAGGGAGCCUGAGAAACGGCUACCACAUCCAAGGAAGGCAGCAGGCGCGCAAAUUACCCAAUCCGGACACCGGGAGGUAGUGACAAGAAAUAGCAAUAGAGGGCCCAACGGGUUUUCUAAUUGGAAUGAGAACAAGGUAAACAGCUUAUCGAGGAGCCAGCAGAGGGCAAGUCUGGUGCCAGCAGCCGCGGUAAUUCCAGCUCUGUAAGCGUAUACCAAAGUUGUUGCAGUUAAAACGCUCGUAGUCGGAGUUUGGCGGGCGGGCUGGGGCGUCUUUACGGACGGAUCUGGGGCCGGCCGCCUUUGUGGAGGGGGGCCCGGCGUCGCUUCACUGCGACGGCGUGGUCGCUGCCACCGUUUACUGUGAGAAAAUUAGAGUGUUCAAAGCGGGCGUUUGCCAUGAAUACAUUAGCAUGGAAUAAUAGAAUAGGACCUGUUUCCUAUUUUGUUGGUUUGUGAGGAACGGGUAAUGAUUAAGAGGGACGGUUGGGGGCAUUUGUAUUCCGGCGUCAGAGGUGAAAUUCUUGGAUUGUCGGAAGACAAACGGCUGCGAAAGCGUCUGCCAAGGACGUUUUCAUUGAUCAAGAACGAAAGUAAGGGGAUCGAAGACGAUCAGAUACCGUCGUAGUCUUUACUAUAAACGAUGAGGACUGGGGGAUCGGGCAGGACUUGAAAUUUGGCCUGCCCGGCACCCUUCGGGAAACCAAAGUGUUUGUUUUUUGGGGGGAAUAUGGUUCCAAGG